UACGCAGGGGGCUAGCGUUGUCCGGAUUCAUUGGGCGUAAAGCGCGUGUAGGCGGCCAGGUAGGUCCGAUGUGAAAACUGGAGGCUUAACCUCCAGACGUCGACGGAAACCGCGUGGCUAGAGUCCGGAAGAGGAGAGUGGAAUUCCUGGUGUAGCGGUGAAAUGCGCAGAUAUCAGGAAGAACACCAAUGGCGAAGGCAGCUCUCUGGGACGGUACUGACGCUGAGACGCGAAAGCGUGGGGAGCGAACAGG
rnacentral:rRNA from 1 species